AAUUCCAAACCAUUUCAAAACUCACAAAAGUAAGGUUUUUGAUAGUACCUUUGUAAGCUUGUGCUCCAAGAAAGUUGCACCUUUUGAUGAAAUUUCACUCCACUCUAAAAAGUUUACAUUCAAUGCACUACACUUCAAAGAAAAAAAAUAGAUUAUGUUGGCGCUUGCUUUGCAACACAUUCGUAGCCAAGAGGUAUUGGUCUAACACACAAAAAACAUGCAUGAAAAAAAAUGUGAUAAAAUCCAAAAUCAAAAAUUAACAAAAAUUUCAAUCUUUCAAAACCUUUCAAUCUUUCACAAUCUUGCAAAAAUAACAAUCUCACCUCAAAUUUCUUGAACAAUCUCCACAACUUGAACUUUGUAACUCCAACUCCAACUCCAACUUUGUAUUCAAACCUCUAAGAUCACAUCAACCAACUCCAACUCCAACUUUGUAUUCAAACCUCCAAGAUCACAUCAACCAACUCCAACUCCAACUUUGUAUUCAAACCUCCAAGAUCACAUCAACCAACUCCAACUCCAACUUCACAACUUACAACUUCCAACUUACAACUUCCAACUUACAACUCACAAUUUACAACUCAAUCUUGAAGUGCACAAUCCAAAAAAUGUUUUGAACAUCAAAUUUGUAAUCAAGAGCUUCAAAAUUGUAAUCAAGAGUUUCAAAUUUGUUUUGGGUAAGCUCAAAUUG
rnacentral:lncRNA from 1 species